GCGUCACUAGGCGUGUGGCUUUAUGGCCGGGUCCCUGUUCCUGCACUCUGUUUUCUGGACUGAAUCGAUUCAAGCAAGCAGCCCCACGUUCCUGCCACCCACCAUGAUGGACUGCACCUUCAAGCCCUGAGCCAAAGUAAGCCCCCCCCUGCCCUGAGUCGCUUCCUGUCAGAUAUUUGAUCCCAUUAGUGGGAAAAGUUAGUUACACAGUAACCUUAAAUUUUCAAAUGUGGGUGUGAGGAAUCAGUUACGAAACUGACUGAGAAGGGCUCCAGUCACAAGGAAGAUCGUGAUUGGCAGAUCGGACUGGUAAGCAUCCAGCCCUUACCGCUGGACGCCGAGUGCCAAGAACAAUAGCAGAAGUUAGCCACGGAGGUGUCUCAGGGGGCAAAUGCUCGUCAUGCACACACAGGACCUGAGUUCAGAUCCCCAGACCCCGUGAACAGCAGUGACUUCGACUGAGGGACACGUCCAUGCCAUUCACAGGCACAGAACAGUCAUUUGUGGACUACGGAAGCUUACGGUGGGAGGACUCAGUGAGUUCACUCGCUCUUCAUCCAACACAGCCCAGUGAGGACCACAGACAUUGUUGCAACGCACUUGAGAAGCCCAAGCCACUGAGUGCAAGUCCCCAGCAACAGGAACGCUUCACAGGCAAGAAACACCUGCGAUAAUAAUCCCGUCCCACUAAAGCACAUUUAAUGAAUUUAAUUAAUAAGUUUUUGUUUAUUUACUUUGUUUUGUUUGAGACGGGGUUUCGUGUUGUCCAGGCUGGCCUCAAGGUUGCUACGCAGCCAACGGUGGCUUGGAGCCCCUGAUCCUCCUGCCUCCGUGUCCCACAGACUGGGAUGACAGCUACAUACCACCACACCAAGCAAGCUCAGCGUUUCAGACACCAUUUUGCAUUCUUCCCAGGCCGUUAAGUUUUACUUCAUGUCCUGGAGCUCUUUAAGCAGGCCAUGUCCCAAAGUUGGCACUAGGCAGUAAUGUCACUGCACCAAGCAGGUGGACAGUGAGACAAGAGGAGAAAAAGGAGACAGAGCAGGAUCUGUCACGAUAUACGAGCAGGCCAUGGUCUGUGCAUGUCCCCUGAAGGUGCCUCACACGGUACCAGGCACAGAACAGGGGCGGCGCUAACAUUUGGUAGCUGAUGGAACAGUCGAAUAAUAAAAGGCUUUUGAAUGGCGAAGAACUCCGCAGCUAGCACAAUGAAGAGAAAAGAGAAGGGGUAAACUAGCCAUGAGAAGUGGCGGAUGGUAGAUCAAACUGCGGAGUCCUGGAGUCCACAAGUUCAUGGAAGCAUUUCGUGCGGCAGGAGCUCAGUCAGCAACCCAGGGACGGGGGCCUACGGGAAGAGACAGAGGCGGCAUCGAUAAUUAUCUUCCUUGGAGCUCAAAUGCUUUCGAGCAGGCCAGUUUAAUUAGGAAACCCGUGUUAGAUCUGCACACUCUGUUCCCUUCUCUACUGGAGAGCGAAGACCGCCAGGGUCAUCCAGCCUUUCAGCGCUGUAGCUUGACGCUGCCAUCCGCAAAUGUAUCCGGCUGCUCGUGUGGCUAUCAUUGGUGAGCGGCGGGCACUGUGCCAGCAUGACGGUCAGGAGGCGCUGGCCCACGUCCACUAGCCUGGCUCGGCACUUCACUGGGAGCCCCAUUUUCUCACCACGGUGACCAAACACAAACAGGAUUUUCUUAAUCAUGCUUAUAACGUAUACUUCUCAAAAAUCCCCUUCUCUUUAAUAUUUUUAAUCCUAUGAGUAUUUUAUUUGUAAAUAAAUUUAUCAUGUUCA